UUUGAAGCACCGGUCCCCGUAUGAUCUCCGAAGUUAAGCAACGGCGACCCUUGUAAGUACCGAGAUGGGUAAUCGCUUGGGAAUACCAAGUGCUGU